CGUGACGUGAUUUGCGAUUGUUUUCUAAACGGUCUUCCAUUGUUGUGAAUGUAGAGCAUCGAAGCGCGAGACGUACUGUAGUUAUAGGCGCGAAAAUAAAACGAGAAUCGAAUAGAACGCGUUAUGUAUAUUAGAAAGCUCAGUUAAAUCGAUGCGUAGCACUUUAUUAGCUGUAACUCCGCGGAUUCGUGAUACGUUAGUUCUCCACAAAUUCGUUGACAGUGCGAUACAGUUUACAUAUGGCUCAUUUGAAAGAAAUAGUAGGACCAAUAUAUGUAACUUUUUUGUUAUUUGUUUUCUAACGAGGGCAGUUCAAUUGCAAGGUCGUUUUGAGAGAGAGAGAGAGAGAGAGAGAGAGAAAAAGACUUGCCCCAGCUUAUUAAAAAAUGGCACUGUUAUUAUUAUUACCAUUUAAAAAGCUAGUUGUGUCUUGUGUAACGUUACAUUUGGAAAUUUGAGACAUAUCGAGCUGUAUUAUCAACGAUAGGUAGAUUAGAAGAGCAAACCAGCUUUUUGUUUUUAAUUUAGGAUCUCACUGCGUUUUCAGGUUGUCAUCAUAUCAGUGGCUCUGCAAUAACAUUGAAAGGUUAUGAUCUUAAGAGUACUUGAUAACUUCACUCGAACUAGAGCACUUCAGGGAUAGACUUACACUGAGAAGCAUCAUUAAGCUUCAUUUUCAACAGAUGCGUAGGGAAUGAAUGAAAAAAGGUUUGAUUUCAACAAUGUGCGCUCAAAUCUGGACACUUGGGAGUUAUUUUUUAUACACUAGUGUUAUCUAGCGGGAAAAGGCACUAACUGCAGUCUUUAUGAUAUCAAAUGUGUUUCCAUAGCAACUUUCCAGACGGUUCUGGAGACAUGGGGUAUUAUUGCUCCCUUAAUUUAUUCACAGGAAAGAUGGCUUUUGGUGCUUUUAUUUUAAAACAAGGUACAUUAAUGAAUUCAGUUAAGUAGAAGAAGAAGAAAAAGAGAAAAAAACUCUCAGGUAGGCAGGUUUACAUUCUUAUUAGGCCUGGUUAAACUAAAAGAGCCCACAGAGGCUUAUCCAACAUAUCAAAUGUGAAUACAAAGUGUCAGUAUAACACCAUAUAGCCCACAUCCGUGAAAAUGGAGAAACGUCUAUAUUUCUGCACUGCAACAGCAUCAAAGGGGAUCAUGAAUUCAGCACAAACAGGGAUUCAUCAUGACGUCACUGUGAGGAAGGAAAAACUCAUCCGUCUCUUGACUGGACUUGGAGAAUCAACUCAUGCAGGAUCAGUAAUGGACCGAAAACGGAAAUGACUGCAAGUUUUUAAAACUCCCUGCUCCUUUUUUUUCUCAGAUUUUCACAUUAACAAGAAGAGUUCAGACAGGAAGAGUUACCGUCAUGAAAAUGGACUUCCUGUCCUACAGAUCUGCACAUACAUGCAGCACAGUAUCGUCAAGGACAAUGUGAAUCUUCACCUGACCAGCACUGCGUGGGACAAAACAAACUUCAUGUUUGCAUUUAAACAGCAUUCAUUUGUUCCUAUCAAAGAAAUGAUGUACAGUGCCUCAAAAGGAAUAUAACUGUCAAAUGUGGAAUCGAACCAUGAGGAGAUAAGGACAAUGUGGUAAAUACAAAGAAGAUGCUUUGAUGCGCACUGAGGUAGAAACUAUUUACUUGAAAUCACAGAGUACAUGCACAAACAAAUUGUGAGAUACAUCCUGAUGUUUAUCUGCCCCCAAAACAACAACAUGCAGUGGGACAGGUGUUUGUGAGUAUGCACAUGUGAAUAUGUGUCUUCAGAACCAGCAGUAUGUCAUGUUUAAACAUUACAGAUCAUGUGCUAUACCAAAAAAUAUUAUGGCAUGCAUGGAAAGUUGGGCAUGGAAUAAAUCUUGAUUACUAUGUUAAUUUAUUAUUAUUAUUCUUUUUUUUGGUCAACAAAUCAGUAGUCAUAUUAAGUGGGAACAACUAUAAAAGACAACAAAUUAUUUGACUGUUGAGGUUAACCUUGUUAAAUAUCUAUUUUUAUUUUUUUGUUAAAGUAUCAUAGCUUUUAUAUUAAAAAGGAAUCAGUUAAACUGGUGAAAGGUUAUUUUUCUAGCUUCUUUAAAAAUUUUGCUAAAUCAUUUGACAUUUUUUCCACUGUUUAUUUUGCCUGCUGUGAAAAGGAAAUGUGACUACACAUGUAGAAAUUCUGUCAUGAUUUCCUCCUUGAAUUGUUUAUGUGGAACAAACACUGAAAAAAAAAAAGGUUUCUGCAGGUUUGUGCCUUUAUAGUUUCAGGAUCUCCCAUCAUUGAAAGCAUCUACCUCAUUGUCCCGAUUGGCUGUUUUACCGCGCAUUUACCUCACUGUGUUGCGUUACAUCAAACAGUUCAAAAGCCUUAUUUCUGGAAUCAGCUCAAGCUUACAGUAUGUCACAUUUCCCCACAUUACUGUCGGCAGUGUUGGCUGUGUGUUGUCCUGGUUUUGUCCAUCCUGAUUUUGUGCAACCAUUCAACCUAAAAAGUCAAGAAGAAAUACAAUAAUGUAAAGGUGGCAAGUAAAAACUCAUCCCAACAUGCCCCACAAACUGAUUUAAAGUGACUGAAGUAUUUUCCCUGUUUCCCUGAGGUAUGUAGGCCUAUGAUGUUGAAAUCUAGACAUUUUAUUAGCUAGAAUAUGGGAAGUUGCAAUGUGAUAGAGUUUAUAUGCGAAUGAUGAUACUUGAGAAAUGAUUGUCUGGCAGUAGAUUUUUCUAGCUGAAAUGUGCAUAAACACAUUUUCCCUA